rnacentral:lncRNA from 1 species
CACCAGCCAUCAGAUCAGAUAGGAACCUCUAAUGUGUGUGACCCCACAGGUUCGAACCUAAGCCGGUAGCACAGGAACCAAUUCCUGUACUAAUCGAAGUGAUCAUCUAGCAAUAGUACCUGACAUCCGGAUAGGUUGAAUAGUCACAAUCACAACAUUCAGAUCCUAUGCAUAUAUGGUUACUAUAUAAUUCAUCCCUUUUGACC